rnacentral:rRNA from 1 species
ACGGAAGGCAGCAGUGGGGAAUAUUGGGCAAUGGGGGAAACCCUGACCCAGCAACGCCGCGUGAAGGAAGAAGGCUUUCGGGUUGUAAACUUCUUUUACCAGGGACGAAGGACGUGACGGUACCUGGAGAAAAAGCCACGGCUAACUACGUGCCAGCAGCCGCGGUAAUACGUAGGUGGCAAGCGUUGUCCGGAUUUACUGGGUGUAAAGGGCGUGUAGGCGGAGCAGCAAGUCAGAUGUGAAAUCUCCGGGCUUAACCCGGAAACUGCAUUUGAAACUGUUGCCCUUGAGUAUCGGAGAGGCAGGCGGAAUUCCUAGUGUAGCGGUGAAAUGCGUAGAUAUUCGGAGGAACACCAGUGGCGAAGGCGGCUUGCUGGGCUUUAACUGACGCUGAGGCUCGAAAGUGUGGGGAGCAAACAGGAUUAGAUACCCUGGUA